CGCCGGUAACAUUCGAUCGAGAGAGAGAUGCAGGUUUAUGUGGAAAAAGGGAAGAUAUUUGAGAUCGAUGUAGGCAAAUACACAUAGAGAUCUGCAGAAUAAUCAGAAUUUGUUAUCUAGCAGACAGCAUGAACAACGUGCUUGAAUAAUUCCGAUGAAAAGUCUUCGGGUCACGCCACAGACGUUAGUUAGGCGGAGCUCUGCAUGGAAGUGUUCGAUGGCGAAUUUCAACACAUUACAGAGUGUAUGUAUUCAAAUGGAUACCAGUGUGCUAGCCCAAUGGCCAAUCAGGUUGCAAAAUUUGUAAGAAAUAUUAGAUCACAAGGGGAAUUAUGCAACAAUUACAAGAUGAAAACAG